GGCCAGGCCCCAUGCAACGAACGCCGGCGAAUCCCGCCAGAACCGGAAGGUGGCAACGGCAGUCAGGAUUUUCGUGUGCCGUGGGUCGCCUGGUCACU
rnacentral:SRP_RNA from 1 species